rnacentral:rRNA from 1 species
UACGGGGGGGGCAAGCGUUGUUCGGAAUUACUGGGCGUAAAGGGCGCGUAGGCGGCCUUCUAAGUCGAACGUGAAAUCCCCAGGCUCAACCUGGGAACUGCGUCCGAUACUGGAUGGCUUGAAUUCGGGAGAGGGAUGCAGAAUUCCAGGUGUAGCGGUGAAAUGCGUAGAUAUCUGGAGGAAUACCGGUGGCGAAGGCGGCAUCCUGGACCGACAUUGACGCUGAUGAGCGAAAGCUAGGGGAGCAAACGGG